GUGGGGAAUUUUGCGCAAUGGGCGAAAGCCUGACGCAGCAACGCCGCGUGCGGGAUGAAGGCCUUCGGGUUGUAAACCGCUUUCAGCAGGGAUGAAAUUGACAGUACCUGCAGAAGAAGCCCCGGCUAACUACGUGCCAGCAGCCGCGGUAAUACGUAGGGGGCAAGCGUUAUCCGGAUUUAUUGGGCGUAAAGAGCGCGUAGGCGGCUUGUUAAGUCAGAUGUGAAAACCGGGGGCUCAACCCGCGGCCUGCAUCUGAAACUGGCAGGCUUGAGUCUGGUAGAGGAAAGUGGAAUUCCCAGUGUAGCGGUGAAAUGCGCAGAUAUUGGGAGGAACACCAGUGGCGAAGGCGGCUUUCUGGGCCACGACUGACGCUGAGGCGCGAAAGCUAGGGGAGCGAACAGGAUUAGAAACCCUUGUAGUCC
rnacentral:rRNA from 1 species